UGGGGAAUAUUGCACAAUGGGCGAAAGCCUGAUGCAGCAACGCCGCGUGCGGGAUGACGGCCUUCGGGUUGUAAACCGCUUUCAGCAGGGGCGAAGGUUUUCUGACGGUACCUGCAGAAGAAGCACCGGCUAACUACGUGCCAGCAGCCGCGGUGAUACGUAGGGUGCGAGCGUUGUCCGGAAUUAUUGGGCGUAAAGAGCUUGUAGGCGGUCCGUUGCGUCGGAAGUGAAAACUCAGGGCUUAACCCUGAGCCUGCUUUCGAUACGGGCGGGACUUGAGGGAUGUAGGGGAGAACGGAAUUCCUGGUGGAGCGGUGGAAUGCGCAGAUAUCAGGAGGAACACCAGUGGCGAAGGCGGUUCUCUGGACAUUUCCUGAC
rnacentral:rRNA from 1 species